AUGCACAUUUUACUGACUUGCUUUCCCUUGCAUAUAUGAGCAGUGUUAUUUCUUAUGUGCUAUACAAAAGUUGAAGGUUAAUUAGCAGUAUAACUAAAUAGUAACACUGCUAGUCUCCUUCACACAAAU
ensembl:snoRNA